UGCACACUAGAUGCAUUGGCAUGCUUCCUUCUUCUUCAGCGCUUUCUCAUUCAAAGAGGGAAAAAAUCUCUCUCGUUUACUUGCCACAAAGAAUCAAAAAGUUUCAUGUCUCAAUUGAUGAGUUAUGGAUGUCCAUUUGAUAGCUGCAUUGGUCUUCAAUUUCAGCAGGCCUUGGAGAUUCCGUUGGAUCAAAAUAAGGAAUAACAUUCUUCAGCUCCAGUUGGUUCACGUUUGAAAAAGUGAAGUGGGCUUCUUGUGGUGAUGGAAAAUAUGGUUUUUUGUUGGGUCUUCCAACUCGUGUGGUGGAGCUUCAAUUUAUAUGUGGGUGGUUCAACAUGUUAUUUUGGAGAUUGCCAUGUAUUAGUCUUGAGGAGAUUUAUAUUUUUAUUUUAAGAUACAAAUGGAUGUAGAUUUGUUAGUAAAACA